rnacentral:rRNA from 1 species
UACGUAGGGGGCUAGCGUUGUCCGGAAUCAUUGGGCGUAAAGCGCGCGUAGGCGGCCCGGUAAGUCCGCUCUGAAAGUCCAGGGCUCAACCCUGGAAUGCGGGUGGAUACUGCCGGGCUAGAGUCCGGAAGAGGCGAGUGGAAUUCCCGGUGUAGCGGUGAAAUGCGCAGAUAUCGGGAGGAACACCAGUGGCGAAGGCGGUUACCUGGAGCUUUGCUGACGCUGAUGCGCGAAAGCGUGGGGAGCGAUCCGG